rnacentral:rRNA from 1 species
AACUAACAAGGAUUCCCCUAGUAACGGCGAGUGAACCGGGAAGAGCUCAAAUUUGAAAUCUGGCGUCCUUCGGGCGUCCGAGUUGUAAUCUAUAGAAACGUUUUCCGUGCCGGACCGUGUCCAAGUCCCUUGGAACAGGGUAUCAGAGAGGGUGACAAUCCCGUACUUGACACGACGACCGGUGCUCUGUGAUACGUUCUCUACGAGUCGAGUUGUUUGGGAAUGCAGCUCAAAAUGGGUGGUAAACUCCAUCUAAAGCUAAAUAUUGGUGGGAGACCGAUAGCGAACAAGUACCGUGAGGGAAAGAUGAAAAGCACUUUGGAAAGAGAGUUAAACAGUAUGUGAAAUUGUUGAAAGGGAAACGAUUGAAGUCAGUCGUGACCGUUGGGUUCAGCCGGUUCUGCCGGUCUACUCCCUUCGGUCGGGUCAACAUCGGUUUUGACCGGCGGAUAAGGAAGGGAGGAAUGUGGCACCCUCCGGGGUGUGUUAUAGCCUCUCGUCGCAUACGUCGGUCGAGACCGAGGAACGCAGCUCGCCUUUAUGGCCGGGGUUCGCCC